GGGCAUAUGGCGGAAUUGGUAUACGCGCUAGCCUUAGGAGCUAGUGGGGGAAACUCCGUGAGAGUUCGAGUCUCUCUAUGCCCACCA
rnacentral:tRNA from 1 species